UCUUCCGUAGUAUAGUGGUCAGUAUGUGAGCUUGUCAUCGCACCAGGCUCCUCCUGGUCCAGACACCGCUCGAGACCCGGGUUCAAUUCCCGGCGGGAGAG